GACGAACGCUGGCGGCGUGCUUAACACAUGCAAGUCGAACGGAAAGGCCCUGCUUUUGUGGGGUGCUCGAGUGGCUAAUGGGUGAGUAACACGUGAGUAAUCUGCCCUUGACUUUGGGAUAACUUCAGGAAACUGGGGCUAAUACCGGAUAGGAGCUCCUGCUGCAUGGUGGGGGUUGGAAAGUUUCGGCGGUUGGGGAUGGACUCGCGGCUUAUCAGCUUGUUGGUGGGGUAGUGGCUUACCAAGGCUUUGACGGGUAGCCGGCCUGGGAGGGUGACCGGCCACAUUGGGACUGAGAUACGGCCCAGACUCCUACGGGAGGCAGCAGUGGGGAAUAUUGCACAAUGGGCGGAAGCCUGAUGCAGCAACGCCGCGUGCGGGAUAGCGGCCUUCGGGUUGUAAACCGCUUUCGCCUGUGACGAAGCGUGAGUGACGGUAAUGGGUAAAGAAGCACCGGCUAACUACGUG
rnacentral:rRNA from 1 species